UAACUGUGGUGGGGGCAAAGGGCUUGCAAUUCUUUGUUCCUUUUCUACACUUGAUAUAAAGUUUCACUCUCCUUUUGAGUAAAAGAAGAUAUUUUCUUUUUCAAUCCA
rnacentral:snoRNA from 1 species